GUAGGUGAACCUGCGGAAGGAUCAUUAAGGAGUAUAAGAUGGAGCUUCGGCUCCUGACUCCCCACCCUUUGCUUACUAUCCCCUAUACUUCGGCGGGCGAUGAUAGAGCCGAGAUAACUCUCCCUAUCUUAACCCGUCGGCUUUACAAAACCUCAAGCUUUAACUGUGUCGUCUGAGCAUUUUGCAAGUAAAUUAAUAAAAACUUUCAACAACGGAUCUCUUGGUUCUGGCAUCGAUGAAGAACGCAGCA
rnacentral:misc_RNA from 1 species